AUGUCUGCGAGUCAGGAUUCCCGGUCCAGAGACAAUGGCCCCUAUGGAAUGGAGCCAGAAGGUGUCAUCGAGAGUAAUUGGAAUGAAAUUGUUGACAGCUUUGAUGACAUGAACCUCUCCGAGUCCCUUCUCCGAGGCAUCUAUGCCUAUGGUUUUGAAAAGCCUUCUGCCAUACAGCAGCGAGCCAUUCUUCCUUGUAUCAAGGGUUAUGAUGUGAUUGCUCAAGCCCAGUCUGGGACUGGGAAAACAGCCACUUUUGCCAUAUCAAUUCUACAGCAGAUAGAAUUGGAUCUGAAGGCCACCCAGGCUUUGGUCCUGGCUCCCACUCGAGAAUUGGCCCAGCAGAUACAGAAGGUGGUAAUGGCAUUAGGAGAUUACAUGGGUGCCUCCUGCCAUGCCUGCAUUGGGGGCACCAAUGUACGUGCUGAAGUACAGAAACUGCAGAUGGAGGCUCCGCACACCAUCGUUGGUACCCCAGGCCGUGUAUUUGAUAUGCUUAAUCGAAGAUACCUUUCUCCCAAAUACAUAAAAAUGUUUGUGCUGGAUGAAGCUGACGAAAUGUUAAGCCGUGGGUUCAAGGACCAGAUCUAUGACAUAUUCCAGAAGCUCAACAGCAAAACCCAGGUAGUUUUGUUAUCAGCUACAAUGCCUUCUGAUGUGCUUGAAGUGACCAAGAAGUUCAUGAGGGACCCCAUUCGGAUUCUUGUCAAGAAGGAAGAACUGACCCUGGAGGGUAUCUGCCAAUUCUACAUCAAUGUGGAACGUGAGGAGUGGAAGCUGAACACACUGUGUGAUUUGUACGAAACAUUAACGAUCACCCAGGCUGUCAUCUUCAUUAACACCCGAAGGAAGGUUGACUGGCUCACUGAAAAAAUGCAUGCCCGGGAUUUCACCGUCUCUGCCAUGCAUGGAGAUAUGGACCAAAAGGAAUGAGACAUGAUCAUGAGGGAGUUCUGUUCUGGCUCCAGCAGAGUUCUCAUCACUACUAACCUACUGGCCAGAGGCAUUGAUGUACAUCAAGUUUCUUUAGUCAUAAACUAUGACUUUCUCACCAACAGGGAAAAUUACAUUCACAGAAUUGGACGUGGUGGGCGCUUUGGCCGUAAGGGUGUGGCUAUUAACAUGGUGACAGAAGAAGACAAGAGGACCCUUCGAGACAUUGAGACCUUCUAUAACACCUCCAGGAUUGAGGAAAUGCCCCUCAAUGUUGCUGACCUCAUCUGA